GCGGGUGUAAUUCAGUGGUAGAAUGCUUCCUUGCCAAGGAAGAUGUCGUGAGUUCGAAUCUCAUCGCCCGCUCCA
rnacentral:tRNA from 1 species